ACAAGCGGUGGAGCAUGUGGUUAAUUCGAAGCAACGCGAAGACUUACCAGGCCUUGACAUGCAGAGAACUUUCCAGAGAUGGAUUGGUGCCUUCGGGAACUCUGACACAGGUGCUGCAUGGCUGUCGUCAGCUCGUGUCGUGAGAUGUUGGGUUAAGUCCCGUAACGAGCGCAACCCUUGCCUUAGUUACCAGCACGUUAAGGUGGGCACUCUAAGGAGACUGCCGGUGACAAACCGGAGGAAGGUGGGGGAUGACGUCAAGUCAUCAUGGCCCUUACGGCCUGGGCUACACACGUGCUACAAUGGUCGGUACAAAGGGUUGCCAAGCCGCGAGGUGGAGCUAAUCCCAUAAACCGAUCGUAGUCCGGAUCGCAGUCUGCAACUCGACUGCGUGAAGUCGGAAUCGCUAGUAAUCGUGAAUCAGAAUGUCACGGUGAAUACGUUCCCGGGCCUU
rnacentral:rRNA from 1 species